UACGUAGGGGGCAAGCGUUGUCCGGAAUCAUUGGGCGUAAAGGGCGCGUAGGCGGUGUGUCAAGUCAGGCGUGAAAGCCCCGGGCUCAACCUGGGAACCGCGCUUGAGACUGGCACGCUCGAGUUCGGGAGAGGAUGGUGGAAUUCCCAGUGUAGAGGUGAAAUUCGUAGAUAUUGGGAAGAACACCGAUGGCGAAGGCAGCCAUCUGGACCGACACUGACGCUGAGGCGCGAAAGCGUGGGGAGCAAACAGG
rnacentral:rRNA from 1 species